CGACUUCCUUUAUCAAGACGGAAGCGACGUAAACAGAGCCAAGAUGCCUGGCAUGCAGUUUGAGUAUGAUGAGGAGGGGGGAACUUUCUACUAUUUCCUUCUUUCCUUUUGGGGCCUGGUCCUCAUACCGGCUACAUAUUAUCUAUGGCCACGGACUAAACCUAAAGAUGAGUCACAACAAUCGCGGGUCCAGUGUAGCUGUGAGCCGUGUCAGCUGAAGAAAACUCUGCUCAAGUCCAAGGACUCCUGGUUCCAUGCUAAGGACAAAUCACUGAAAAUUGGCUUGAUAAUUGGCUGGUUGAUCUUUUUCCUGUUGGCCUACAAGGUGUCCAAAAUACAGAUGGACUAUGUUGAAUAUGACCCUUUCCAGGAACUUGAAGUUGAUAGAGGUGCCAGCCCUGGAGAGAUCAAGAAGGCCUACAGGAAGCUCAGUUUGAUCUACCAUCCUGACAAGCAGACUGGAGACCCCAAGAAGUUUAUGAGAAUAGCCAAAGCUUUUGCUGCACUGACAGAUGAAGAAUCUCGCAAGAACUGGGAGGAGUAUGGGAACCCUGAUGGUCCUGGAGCUACCAGAUUCGGUAUAGCUCUGCCCAAGUGGAUUGUUGAGAGGGAAAACUCCAUGUGGGUGCUUGCUGCCUAUCUCCUGGUCUUCAUGAUUCUCAUGCCGAUCAUUGUGGGCAUGUGGUGGUAUCGAUCAAUCAAGUUCAGUGGAGAUCAGAUUCUGCUGGAUACGACACAUCUCUACUUCUACUUCAUUAGCCGAACUCCAAACAUGAUUCUCAAACGUGCCGUAAUGAUACUGGGAGCAUCAUUUGAAUUUGACCGCUUUCACAAUACUGAGAUUGCAAACAGACCAAGCGACAAUGAAGAAAUUCCAACACUGAUGAAGCUGUUGCCCAACAUCCAGAAGGAGAACAAGAAGCCACCACUGUGUUACCCAUACAGCAUCAAGGCCCGUGCCCUCAUCCUGGCUCACUGCCAGAGGAUGCCACUCCCACCACUCAGUCUGGACCUCGACAAACAGUACAUCCUGAACAAAUGCCCCUACCUUCUGAAUGAGAUGAUCAACAUUUGUGCCCAGCAGGUUGCCAUGGCAAUGGCAGGAAGAUUGCAGCAGAGCCCCCGUCUGGACACAGUUGAGAACCUGAUGAAGCUGAGUCAGAUGAUCAUACAGGCCCUGGAGGAGAAGUCCAGCUCGCUGCUGCAACUGCCCCACAUCACACAGGACAUGCUGAGACACUUCGUGGGCAAGAAGAGGAACAUUCGCACCAUCCGUGACUUGGUAUCGAUGAAAGAGGAAGAUCGACGCUCAAUGCUGCGUGGUCUGAAUGACAGCGAAUACAAUGAUGUGAUGAACGUCUGUGCAAGCAUGCCUGAUGUCAUCAUGGAAGUAACGUCUGAGGUUCUUGAUGAUGAAGACAAAUCUAUCACUGCUGGAUCGAUUGUCACUGUAACUGUGAGACUGACACGCGAACAUCUGGGUUUGAAGUUGAAUCGGGAAUUGCCAGCCUCUGAAGGAGUUGAAGAUGUUGUUGACAAUGAUGGAGAUGAAGAUGCUGAGGAUGGUGAAGAGAAACAGACAAAUGCCUCCCCCCAGAACAAGCCCAAGGUGUGGGAGAAACAGAAGAAGAAAGGCAAGAAGGGAGGAGCCAAGCAGAAGAAGAAGACCAAGCAAGCCAACCAAUGGAAGCCUGCAGCUCCACAAGCCAAACCAGAUGCAGCACAGAACAAUGGGAAAACAGCCAAAGCAGCAGAGGCAGCAGCAGAAGGAGCUGAAGAUGACGAGCAUGAAGAUGUGCCUGAGAAGAAGGUGCAAGACUCGCAUGUUGAGGAGUCAGAGGAUGAGGAGAGAAAUGACUCAGAGGAGGAACAAGAAGAGACUAAGAAGCCUGUCAAAGCUGAGGACGAGGAGAAGGAUGAAGAAGAGGAAGAAGACUGGUCAAAGUUCCAGGAAGAAUCAAGGAAAGAGAACUCUCUGGAAACCAAGAGCAAGGAGAGCCAUAUUGUUCACUGCCCAUAUUUCUCUACAGAGAAGCAGGAAUGGUGGUGGUUGUACGUGGCAGACAGGAAACACCAUCACCUCAUCACUGCACCUGUACAGAUUUGUAGCCUGAAGAAGGAUGAGGAGGUCCAGCUCAAGUUCUCAGCCCCUCGUAAACCUGGCUCAUACCAGUACUCUGUCAUCCUACGCUCAGACUCAUAUCUGCUUGACUUUGACAAAAUAUCCAACAUCAAGCUGGAUGUGAAGGAGGCGAAGGUUGUGUCCGACCACCCGCAGUGGGACAUCUCAGACGACGAGGCGGAGAAGGAGGAUGGCGCCGGAGAAGACACAGAGGAGGAUAGCGACUACUCUUCUGAGGAGGAUGACGAUGAUUAGGAGGGGUGACAGGAGGGAGGGGAGGGAGGGAUGACGUAUGCGAGGUUGUACAGAAGAUAUUGAUUUGUUAACCAAGGAGGAUGAAUUCAGGUCAGGGAGUUGGGGAUGCAGAAGAGAAAAGUGCACAUUUAUAUGUAAGAAGUGUCUGAUGGGUGAAUGUCUGAUGGUAGGAUAAUAUUGAGGGUGGUUGAUACAUAUUUAUGAUAAGGUUAGCAUGUGGAAGGGAGGAGUAUGAGUACACAGAAUGAGUGUGCAAGCUUGUUAUCUCAUAUAAUACAUUGGAGGAGAGAUUUCCUACAACAUUGUUGUGACAAUAAAGUCCGUGAUUGCUAUCUCGUUUACAGUAUAUUAGUUGGGGUCAUGUUGUUAUAUCCCAGUUGGGUGGAGACUGUCCCUUUGGGGCAGUAUGGUCUAUACCAAAUAUGUUGACAAGCACUGAAGACGGAUGUGUAUGUGGAUUGUGUGUAUGGUGUAAGUGUUAAACAGAUCAUAGCAGUAGAUGCUCCAGUCUUCACAGAUGCUAUCCCUUGAUGGAACAAGUACAUAUUGUCAGGAAGGUAACAAAAGCAUGAAAAUUGUCCUUCACAAAUCAUUCAGGAAUUCAUCAUUUAUGAUAAGGGUCAGCCCUCUGGAGUGAACAUUGAAGAUCUUAUGUACAUUAUAGGGAUUGGUGAUCUGGAUUGAACAUAAAGGAACUGGUCAGCCAUUGCAGGCCCACCAUCUGGAGUGAGCAUUAAUGGAUCUGUCAUUUAUUGCAGGGUCGCCAACAAAACAGUUGAGUGUCACAGAUUUAGGGUACUUAAAUAGAUCACCGCUUCUGUUUUAAUGUAAACUGUCAUUCUGUUGAAACAGUUUCGAUUAUUCAAAACAAAUGUCUUUGGUUAUGUUACAUCAUGGGUCAGAUAUAUCAGAAUCACUUUAAGUCUCACUGUUUACUGCUCCUGCAUGAAGACCAAAACCUUGGUGUCGUUCUCCCAGUGAUCAGUGACCAGUCAAUGUGCUCCAGUGUAACUUUAGCAUCAGGGUAAGAGGACAAAUCGCAACUGUUGUGAUGUCUGGUUGACUAUAGCUGCUGAUUGAGACUGAAUGAUACAAAUAUUAUAAGAGAUCAAAGGGUCUGUAAAAGAUGAUGAAUGUUAUAUAGAUAUUUUGUUCAAUGUUUUGUAAUAAAAUGUGACCAUGUUCAAAGCUGUGUUUGGAUCAGUUUUAUAGACUUACUGCUUAAACAUUUCAGCAUAGCAUUUUCUCAUCUGUGGGCAUUUAUAACUCAUUUAUCGUUUGUGUGUCUCUGUUCAUUUGACAAAAAAUCGCAAGUUGGAAGAGUGCUGUCAUGCCAAGAAAAUAUGUUCCCUCCAUAAUGUAUUGACCUGUUUAACACACAGCUCCUUUGAACAUUGAAUUAUACAUUGAAUCAUACAAUAAUUAAACCAGCAUCCUUCCCAGAAAUCUGCAACAGUUAUUAUUUGUACUACUCAAAGGGAGACUACUCUUCAUGCCUAUUUUCGCCAUUUCCUGAUGGGUUUCAGAUGUGUGAAAUGUUCCAUUGUGCACCAUAACAUUUGAAUUUGUAAACAGUACUUUCAAAUAGCUGGAAUAAAACUAAACUGAAAUUGCCUUAGUCUAGCCCUACUUCAAGUCUGUUUUGUACAUUUGUUUCUAGAUAAUUUAUGGAUUAUUUUUUAUUUAGAAUCAAUCAUUUUGUAUGGUCUGAAUACUGUGUCAAGUUAUGCUGGUAGAGUGCUCACAUUGUUUCUUUUGAUGCUGUCUUGGCUGUAGAGUUUGGUAAUGGUUACAGCUUAUGUCGUCAGGAGCUUCAAGUAAUAUGUGUGGAUGAUGAUGUGAAGAGUAACCAUUAACUGCCACAUCAUAGCAGGCCAGACAGGGCCAACUUCGUUUUCAUCUUGUAUGCCUUAUCUUUGGUUUGCAGAACAUGAGAAACAUAUAUUUGAUUGAAAGAAUUCCUUAUCAUCAAACCAUAAUAAAUAUAUAAUUAACCUGCCUCAGAAUCAAUGUUCUUUUUCAAAUUAUGACCAAGACCAUGUUCCCCAAAGACAUUUUAGUACAGUACCGAAGUUCGUCCUUGGAAACUUGCCCAUGAUUCUGACAGUCAUGGUUCAAAGAUGGCAUUGUAGGAUUGGAGCCUUAAGCCUGAAGUUGACAUUACAGGGAAUGGUCUGAAAUCAAUGUGGACAAGCUACAUAUGUCAUCUGCAUCAUGCUGCAAUGGCAGGGGAAAUAUGUGUAAUAUUUGAACAUUUGAAAUAAUACUAGUCUGACCUUGAACCAAAUAUAAUGUUGCCUGUAUGUCUGAGAUGUGUACCAGCAUAUUGUUACUAAUAUAAUCACAAAUCGCCUGCAGUUACAAUUAAAGGAAGGUUGAUUUUCCAUUACUGUAAUUGUUGUUUGUUUAACACUGGUAAUAUGAAUAGCAAUGAAGAGACAGAAUGUGUACAUAGUAAUAUACGGGAUACCACUGUUAUGGCAAAGUUUGAACAUUUUGGUGUUAGAGGGAUUUUCAGAAAAUAUAUUUAUGUGAUGAAAUAAACAGCUUUCUUGUUGAAGGUAUCAUGUUUGUAAAUAGCUUAUUAAUCCCAUUUUGUAAAUAAAAUCUGAAAUAGUGUACCUAAGAACUCUACCUAAAACUGAGCUGUAAAGAAUAUCUGAAGAUGUCUUGAUGUUUCAUUGGUUAUUUAUAUGGAAAAUCCUUUACAAAUAUGCUCUUUGACUGUCCAGAGUUCUAUAAUUUACAGUAAGGCUGUACUUGGCAUCUGCUAUAUCUGGUGGUGUUAGAAUGGGGGAUCACUGCAUGGCAAGUUGUCAAAGCAAAACACUGUUUACUCCCAUAGCUGCUGUACCAUGUGACCUUGGCUAGUCAUGCAUGCAUGCAAUACUUACUGUACCAUGUGACCAUGGCUAGUCAUGCAUGCAGGAGGUGCUGUACCAUGUGACCAAGGCUAGUCAUGCAUGCAAGAGCUGCUGUACCAUGUGACCAAGGCUAGUCAUGCAUGCAGUACUUACUGUACCAUGUGACCAUGGCUAGUCAUGCAUGCAGGAGCUGAUGUACCAUGUGACCAUGGCUAGUCAUGCAUGCAGUAACUGCUGUAUCGUGACCAUGGCUAGACAUGCAUGCAGGAGCUGCUGUACCAUGUGAUCAAGGCUAGUCAUGCAUGCAGGAGCUGCUGUACCAUGGCUAGUCAUGCAUGCAGGAGCUGCUGUAUCAUGUGACAAUGGCUAGACCUGCAUGCAGGAGCUGCUGUAUCAUGUGACAAUGGCUAGACCUGCAUGCAGGAGCUGCUGUACCAUGUGACCAAGGCUAGUCAUGCAUGCAGUAACUGCUGUAUCAUGUGACCAUGGCUAGACAUGCAUGCAGGAGCUGCUGUAUCAUGUGACAAUGGCUAGACCUGCAUGCAGGAGCUGCUGUACCAUGUGACAAUGGCUAGACCUGCAUGCAGUAGCUGCUGUACCAUGUGACCAAGGCUAGUCAUGCAUGCAGUAACUGCUGUAUCAUGUGACCAUGGCUAGACAUGCAUGCAGGAGCUGCUGUACCAUGUGACCAAAGCUAGUCAUGCAUGCAGUAACUGCUGUACCAUGUGACCAUGGCUAGUCAUGCAUGCAGGAGCUGCUGUACCAUGUGACCAAAGCUAGUCAUGCAUGCAGUUACUGCUGUACCAUGUGACCAAGGCUAGUCAUGCAUGCAGUAACUGCUGUACCAUGUGACCAUGGCUAGUCAUGCAUGCAGGAGCUGCUGUACCAUGUGACCAAAGCUAGUCAUGCAUGCAGUAACUGCUGUACCAUGUGACCAGGGCUAGUCAUGCAUGCAGUAGCUGCUGUGCCAUGUGACCAGGACCAAGCUAGUCAUGCAUGCAGUAACUGCUGUACCAUGUGACCAUGGCUAGUCAUGCAUGCAGGAGCUGCUGUACCAUGGCUAGUCAUGCAUGCAGUUACUGCUGUACCAUGUGACCAUGGCUAGUCAUGCAUGCAGUAACUGCUGUACCAUGGCUAGUCAUGCAUGCAGUAACUGCUGUACCAUGGUGUACCAGGCUUCAUGCAUGCAGUAACUGCUGUACCAUGUGGCCAUGGCUAGGUAGGCAUAUUUCCAGAUAUACUCCAGAUCAUGUACAUUUCCUUGCUUGUCAGUCAGAUGUAGAUGAACACAUUGCAUCAUAAAUUCCUGAAAUCAACAGGUCCAGUAACUGUUGUGACCUUCCCCUUGACUGACAUCAACCCUCAAGAUAACAUAGAUGAUCCAUCAUUCUGCUCAUGUUACUUUCUUACAUUUUCCUGUGUCAGUUAUAGCAGUGUGAAGAGUUUCUUUACAUAAAAAUACAAUAAACUAUUUUCAACGUCA
rnacentral:misc_RNA from 1 species